GACGAACGCUGGCGGCGUGCUUAACACAUGCAAGUCGAACGGAAAGGCCCUGCUUUUGUGGGGUGCUCGAUUGGCGAACGGGUGAGUAACACGUGAGUAACCUGCCCUUGACUUUGGGAUAACUUCAGGAAACUGGGGCUAAUACCGGAUAGGAGCUCCUGCUGCAUGUUGGGGGUUGGAAAGUUUCGGCGGUUGGGGAUGGACUCGCGGCUUAUCAGCUUGUUGGUGGGGUAGUGGCUUACCAAGGCUUUGACGGGUAGCCGGCCUGAGAGGGUGACCGGCCACAUUGGGACUGAGAUACGGACCAGACUCCUACGGGAGGCAGCAGUGGAGAAUAUUGCACAAUGGGCGGAAGCCUGAUGCAGCAACGCCGCGUGCGGGAUGACGGCCUUCGGGUUGUAAACCGCUUUCGCCUGUAACGAAGCGUGAGUGACGGUAAUGGGUAAAGAAGCACCGGCUAACUACGUG
rnacentral:rRNA from 1 species